rnacentral:rRNA from 1 species
UACGAAGGGGGCUAGCGUUGUUCGGAAUCACUGGGCGUAAAGGGCGCGUAGGCGGCUUUAUAAGUCGGGGGUGAAAGCCUGUGGCUCAACCACAGAAUUGCCUUCGAUACUGUAGAGCUUGAGACCGGAAGAGGUAAGUGGAACUGCGAGUGUAGAGGUGAAAUUCGUAGAUAUUGGGAAGAACACCGGUGGCGAAGGCGGCUCACUGGCCCGUUUCUGACGCUCAGGCGCGACAGCGUGGGGAUCAAACAGG